CCUACGGGAGGCAGCAGUGGGGAAUAUUGCACAAUGGGGGAAACCCUGAUGGAGCGACGCCGCGUGAGUGAAGAAGUCUUUCGGUAUGUAAAGCUCUAUCAGCAGGGAAGAAAAUGACGGUACCUGAUUAAGAAGCCCCGGCUAACUCCGUUCCAGCAGCCGCGGUAAUACGGAGGAUGCGAGCGUUAUCCGGAUUUAUUGGGUUUAAAGGGUGCGUAGGCGGGCCUUUAAGCCGGCGGUCAAAUGGCGGGGCUCAACCCCGGCCUGCCGUCGGAACUGGGUGCCUUGAGUGGGCGAGAAGUAGGCGGAAUGCGUGGUGUAGCGGUGAAAUGCAUAGAUAUCACGCAGAACCCCGAUUGCGAAGGCAGCAUACCGGCGCCCGACUGACGCUGAGGCACGAAAGUGCGGGUAUCGAACAGGAUUAGAUACCCGAGUAGUC
rnacentral:rRNA from 1 species